rnacentral:rRNA from 1 species
GCAUAUCAAUAAGCGGAGGAAAAGAAACCAACAGGGAUUGCCUCAGUAACGGCGAGUGAAGCGGCAAGAGCUCAAAUUUGAAAGCUGGCCCCUUCGGGGUCCGCAUUGUAAUUUGCAGAGGAUGCUUCGGGAGCGGCCCCCAUCUAAGUGCCCUGGAACGGGCCGUCAUAGAGGGUGAGAAUCCCGUAUGGGAUGGGGUGUCCGCGCCCGUGUGAAGCUCCUUCGACGAGUCGAGUUGUUUGGGAAUGCAGCUCUAAAUGGGUGGUAAAUUUCAUCUAAAGCUAAAUAUUGGCCGGAGACCGAUAGCGCACAAGUAGAGUGAUCGAAAGAUGAAAAGCACUUUGAAAAGAGAGUUAAAAAGCACGUGAAAUUGUUGAAAGGGAAGCGCUUGCGACCAGACUCGCCCGCGGGGUUCAGCCGGCAUUCGUGCCGGUGUACUUCCCCGUGGGCGGGCCAGCGUCGGUUUGGGCGGCCGGUCAAAGGCCCUCGGAAUGUAACGCCUCUCGGGGCGUCUUAUAGCCGAGGGUGCCAUGCGGCCAGCCCGGACCGAGGAACGCGCUUCGGCUCGGACGCUGGCAUAAUGGUCGUAAGCGACCCGUCUUGAAACACGGACCAAGGAGUCUAACAUCUACGCGAGUGUUCGGGUGUCAAACCCGUGCGCGCAGUGAAAGCGAACGGAGGUGGGAACCCUUUGGGUGCACCAUCGACCGAUCCUGAUGUCUUCGGAUGGAUUUGAGUAAGAGCGUAGCUGUUGGGACCCGAAAGAUGGUGAACUAUGCCUGAAUAGGGCGAAGCCAGAGGAAACUCUGGUGGAGGCUCGCAGCGGUUCUGACGUGCAAAUCGAUCGUCAAAUUUGGGUAUAGGGGCGAAAGACUAAUCGAACCAUCUAGUAGCUGGUUCCUGCGA